rnacentral:rRNA from 1 species
CCCAGUAGGGCUCGUAUCNAGUCGAGCGGAUGACGGGAGCUUGCUCCUUGAUUAGCGGCGGACGGGUGAGUAAUGCCUAGGAAUCUGCCUGGUAGUGGGGGACAACGUUCCGAAAGGGGCGCUAAUACCGCAUACGUCCUACGGGAGAAAGUGGGGGAUCUUCGGACCUCACGCUAUCAGAUGAGCCUAGGUCGGAUUAGCUAGUUGGUGAGGUAAAGGCUCACCAAGGCGACGAUCCGUAACUGGUCUGAGAGGAUGAUCAGUCACACUGGAACUGAGACACGGUCCAGACUCCUACGGGAGGCAGCAGUGGGGAAUAUUGGACAAUGGGCGAAAGCCUGAUCCAGCCAUGCCGCGUGUGUGAAGAAGGUCUUCGGAUUGUAAAGCACUUUAAGUUGGGAGGAAGGGCAGUAAGUUAAUACCUUGCUGUUUUGACGUUACCGACAGAAUAAGCACCGGCUAACUCUGUGCCAGCAGCCGCGGUAAUACAGAGGGUGCAAGCGUUAAUCGGAAUUACUGGGCGUAAAGCGCGCGUAGGUGGUUCGUUAAGUUGGAUGUGAAAGCCCCGGGCUCAACCUGGGAACUGCAUCCAAAACUGGCGAGCUAGAGUAUGGUAGAGGGUGGUGGAAUUUCCUGUGUAGCGGUGAAAUGCGUAGAUAUAGGAAGGAACACCAGUGGCGAAGGCGACCACCUGGACUGAUACUGACACUGAGGUGCGAAAGCGUGGGGAGCAAACAGGAUUAGAUAC